AUUGAACGCUGGCGGCAUGCUUUACACAUGCAAGUCGAACGGUAACAGGUUAAGCUGACGAGUGGCGAACGGGUGAGUAAUGCAUCGGAACGUGCCCGGUCGUGGGGGAUAACGCAGCGAAAGCUGCGCUAAUACCGCAUACGAUCUGAGGAUGAAAGCGGGGGACCGUAAGGCCUCGCGCGAUCGGAGCGGCCGAUGGCAGAUUAGGUAGUUGGUGGGGUAAAGGCUCACCAAGCCAACGAUCUGUAGCUGGUCUGAGAGGACGACCAGCCAAACUGGGACUGAGACACGGCCCAGACUCCUACGGGAGGCAGCAGUGGGGAAUUUUGGACAAUGGGCGAAAGCCUGAUCCAGCAAUGCCGCGUGCAGGAAGAAGGCCUUCGGGUUGUAAACUGCUUUUGUACGGAGCGAAAAGGUCUCCUCUAAUACAGGGGGCUCAUGACGGUACCGUAAGAAUAAGCACCGGCUAACUACGUGCCAGCCGCCGCUGUAA
rnacentral:rRNA from 1 species